CUUUGGAUUAAAUACUGCCACUAAUAGGAAACUUCUCCUACAAACCUGCCAUGAGACAAGGUAUGCUUUUUCAUUAAAAGUAUAUUGAAUUUGAGUUACUACGAAAGCUGCACCCUGGUGCAGCAAUACUUAAGCAAGCUGAUUUGUUAGCAUAAGUUGACUUGUUGGUUUUCGUUCUAUACAGUGCAGGAAGAAAUAUUGCUAAUGCUAAUUUAAUGCAAGUCAUUGCCAGCUAAGUUCAUUUGUAUUUGCUUGGCUAGCACUAGCUCUCCUAAACUUAUUAAGUUCUAACCAAAUAUAAAUAUUUUUUCUUCAGUCUGACUUUCUUUGUGCCACGUGAAACACAGGCGCUAUCCUGAGUAAAAAUACAAAAAGAGCAUUCUGUCCCUCGCUCCGUUAACAACGAACUGUGAACAACAUAUUGGUUAAUAGCCUAUCUAACGUUACAAUUCACCUGGCAGACUCAUUUUUUUCAGUUGUUCAAUAGACAUUUUUUGAACAUGUGGCAGACACCAUUGAAGUAAGCUAAUAUUUUUUUAAAUGGUAUUAAUGUUAUAAAGUUACUUUCUUGCAGACGUGAAUGCACUUAAUCAUAAGGGUUUGCGUCGUUGUGGUGCUAAACACAUGCAGUGAAUUAAAAAGGUUAUGUAGAUACAUGCAUAAAUAAUUUGUAUGUUGAUAGCAUGUUUAAAAUUAGGUCCUUACCUGCAAAAUCUUAUCUGAACAUGUCGUUUUGUUUUUAAAAAAAGCUGUUUUUUUUCAUUAUUGGCUGAUUUAUUGUGUUAAGUUGUGAUUUUCUUCCCACAAGAUAAAGAAGUUCGUAGAGGGGACAAUCAUGGAUAAACUGGAUGAUGUCACAACAUCAAUUUUAAAUGCUGCCAAUAUUGACGAGACCUUGCUCCACACCCUCAACCGUGAUGAUUUGCGAGACCUUUUUCCUGGCCCGGAACACUUUCUCAGGAGGAAACGAGUUUGGGCCCUUAUCAACCCAGAGGUAGAUGGGAAUGUCAAAUCUGGCCCUAGUGAAGGAGGAACAGUGUCUUCACCUAGAGGAGUGCCU